rnacentral:rRNA from 1 species
GUAAUAAUCCUGUAGUCGAAAAUGUUGUCUCUCUUGAGUGGAUCCUGAGUACGACGGAGCACGUGAAAUUCCGUCGGAAUCUGGGAGGACCAUCUCCUAAGGCUAAAUACUCUCUAGUGACCGAUAGUGAACCAGUACCGUGAGGGAAAGGUGAAAAGCACCCCGGAAGGGGAGUGAAAUAGAACCUGAAACCGUGUGCUUACAAGUAGUCAGAGCCCGUUAAUGGGUGAUGGCGUGCCUUUUGUAGAAUGAACCGGCGAGUUACGAUUUGAUGCAAGGUUAAGCAGUAAAUGUGGAGCCGUAGCGAAAGCGAGUCUGAAUAGGGCGUUUAGUAUUUGGUCGUAGACCCGAAACCAGGUGAUCUACCCUUGGUCAGGUUGAAGUUCAGGUAACACUGAAUGGAGGACCGAACCGACUUACGUUGAAAAGUGAGCGGAUGAACUGAGGGUAGCGGAGAAAUUCCAAUCGAACCUGGAGAUAGCUGGUUCUCUCCGAAAUAGCUUUAGGGCUAGCCUCAAGUGAUGAUUAUUGGAGGUAGAGCACUGUUUGGACGAGGGGCCCCUCUCGGGUUACCGAAUUCAGACAAACUCCGAAUGCCAAUUAAUUUAACUUGGGAGUCAGAACAUGGGUGAUAAGGUCCGUGUUCGAAAGGGAAACAGCCCAGACCACCAGCUAAGGUCCCAAAAUAUAUGUUAAGUGGAAAAGGAUGUGGCGUUGCCCAGACAACUAGGAUGUUGGCUUAGAAGCAGCCAUCA